rnacentral:rRNA from 1 species
GAUGAACGCUCGCGAUAGGCUUAACACAUGCAAGUCGAGGGGCAGCAUGGUCUUAGCUUGCUAAGACUGAUGGCGACCGGCGCACGGGUGCGUAACGCGUAUGCAACUUGCCUCACAGAGGGGGAUAACCCGUCGAAAGACGGACUAAUACCGCGUACACUUGGGAUAGGGCAUCCUGACCCAAGGAAAUGAAAUUCGCUGUGAGAUAGGCAUGCGUCCCAUUAGCUAGUUGGUGAGGUAACGGCUCACCAAGGCGACGAUGGGUAGGGGAACUGAGAGGUUGAACCCCCACACUGGUACUGAGACGCGGACCAGACUCCUACGGGAGGCAGCAGUGAGGAAUAUUGGUCAAUGGGCGAGAGCCUGAACCAGCCAAGUCGCGUGAAGGAUGACUGUCUUAUGGAGUGUAAACUUCUUUUAUACGGGAAUAACAAGAGCCACGUGUGGCUCCCUGCAUGUACCGUAUGAAUAAGCAUCGGCUAACUCCGU